UACGGAGGGGGCUAGCGUUGUUCGGAAUUACUGGGCGUAAAGCGCGCGUAGGCGGCUUUGUAAGUUAGAGGUGAAAGCCCGGAGCUCAACUCCGGAAUUGCCUUUAAGACUGCAUCGCUAGAAUCAUGGAGAGGUGAGUGGAAUUCCGAGUGUAGAGGUGAAAUCCGUAGAUAUUCGGAAGAACACCAGUGGCGAAGGCGACUCACUGGACAUGUAUUGACGCUGAGGUGCGGAAAGCGUGGGGAGCAAACAGG
rnacentral:rRNA from 1 species